CUGCUUCCAGGGCGAUUCACAGAUGAAGAGAGUCUCUGUGUCUCAUCAGGACCUGAUCCUGCAGGAGAGACUCACUGCACAGCUGCGAGCGGCUCUUCUGGAAGUGCAUCAGAUCUUCUUCCUGUGGCCACUGAGAGACCGACUGACCCUCCUGCAGCGGGACAGAGAGAGACGCAGAGAGAGGACACACAGAGACACGAAGGACAGUCCUGCAUACACUCGUUUGCUGUCCUCGGCCACACAGAAAACACUCCGCAGGAAGACUCAGAGGU